ACGCAGUUUCGCAACACAUGGUUACCUCCGUCGGUUCAUACUCGGUUUCCAGAUUUAUCAAAACUGGUAAUUCCAACGCGAUAUUGGAUAAGGUUUAUAAGAAUACUAAGUGAUUUUAUAUGCGAUACACGGCGCGUAUAUAAUGUCAAAUGUCAUAGACUUUCGCGUCCCGUUUGUUCCGAAAUUUUCGUUAUUCUUAUUGCGACUACUGAGCGAAAAAUUUAAGAUACUUAUCACUUUUCACAACGUUGAUGAUUGUUUUGCAAGAGUGAUGAUACGUCCUAGCUGACAGACUGCAGACAAUACAGGAUCCUGAGGGAACAUCGGUUGCCAACUCGAAUCACUAGAUGGAUACUUUGGAAGGAUGAAAUUAUUUUCAAUAAGUUUCAUCCUCACUAAUAAUUCCUUUCAAUCCUCUCCCUCAUAAUUAAAAGACACGGUCUGACUUGGUUUGUGCACUGUAACAUUUAUACUUCAGUCAAAUCAGUGUUAGUGCUGCAAUGUUUGACUUUAGAAUUGAAAUCUUUUUUUUCAUUCCUCCCCAAAGCCUCGUCUUGUAUUCAUUGUAUUUUUGGAUCAUAAGGUGACCGUCUAUUGUCCAUUUCUAACAUUAUUCUGUAUUCUGUUAAUUAUUAUUACAAUAAUUUCUUCAUUUUUCCAGACUGCGUGGCCUAGACAUUGCACGAAUACGGUUACCAUCCACCUGUGGAGCGGCGUUUUUAUCAAUGCUACAUUCUUCCUUGAAAAUAUAAAAAAAUAAAAGACACGAUUUUUUGUCUUUGAUUAUUCGAAGUUUGAAAA
rnacentral:lncRNA from 1 species